CCGGGCAGGUGCAUCAGCCUCUUCUUUCUAGUUUCCGACAGGGCUACCCGCACUAGCCUCUGACCUCUACUCCAAAACCUGAACUUCACAGAUCCGAAGCCUAAACCUUCACUACUUCCAUCACUUCACAGAGCAGGUCUUGUUUUCAAACUUGCUUUCGGGUUAAGUGCAGAAAAUCAAUUCAAUAUUCCUGUCAUUGAGGAUCUAUUAGAUGAGCUACAUGGUGCACAACUGUUUUCCAAACUUGAUUUGAGAUCAGGUUAUCAUCAGAUAAGAAUGAGAAGAGAAGACAUUCAUAAAUUUUAGGACAUAUUUUUGUCAUUAUGAAUACUUAGUGAUGCCAUUUGGACUCACUAAUGCACCUGCUACCUUCCAAUCUUUAAUGAAUCAUGUUUUUGCUCCGGAAAUACCUUUUGGUAUUCUUUGAUGAUAUUCUGAUAUAUAGCAAGACCAAACAAGCUCAUCUCAAGCAUCUAAAGUUAGUCCUGGACAUUCUAAGGUCAUAAAAACUAUAUGCUAAGAUUAGCAAAUGCAGUUUUCCUGUCCCUCAAGUGGAGUAUUUAGGGCAUGUUAUCUAAGGAUAGGGUCUAUCUACAGACCCCCACAAAAUAGUUGCCAUCAAAGAAUGGCCAGCACCUAAGACUAUCACUCAGUUGAGGAGUUUUCUUGGUAUGGCUGCAGAAAAAGAAGAUUUGUCAAGAAUUAUGGGAUCAAUUCUAGGCCACUUCAUGACUGUCUAAAAAAAGAUUCAUUCCAGUGGUCAGAUGCUCAAAUUGAGGCCUUCACAACAUUGAAGAAUUGUCUGGUCACUGCCAUUACCUACUUCUGCUUGGACUGACAUCUCCCUGGAUUUCUUUGAGGGUCUUCCCAAAUCAUUGGGCAAAGAAGUCAUAUUGUUGGUGGUGGACAGGUUCACUAAAUAUUCUCAUUUCAUUCCCCUUGCUCACCCUUAUACAGUACAAUCAGUCUCUCAUGCUUUCAUGGAUAAUGUUUUUAAGUGGAAUGGAUUGCCAAAGUCAAUAGUCUCUGAUAGAAACUGGAUAUUCACAAGUAACAUGUGGCAGGCCUUCUUCAAAGCACUGCAAGUGAAAUUGAGCAACCAAGGAAGUGGGCUAGUUUGGAUCAAGCAAAUGCCACUUGGGAGGAUGCCGACUUCAUCAAAGGUCUCUUUCCGGAGUUCUAUACAGCUCCUAUUCGUGGUUGGUGCCCUAAUUCCAACACUUGACAAUGCUUUGGGGGAGGUAUUGUCAUAUCUGAAGAUUACUGUACCUAACUCUCGAUUGAAUUCAGAGUGCUGCCUUUACUUCAUCUGCCGUGAACGGAGCCAAGAGGCUUGCGUUCAUUUCUUCAGUUACUCGCCUGUUUACUUUCCCCAGUAGCCCAGGGUCGGGAGCUAGGACUUCUGAGGUGAACAGUCCCUCAAAGUAACCCUGUAUCAGAGAUGCUAACUGGUCAUUACCUUCGAUCCUGUUGCCGUUUGAGUCAUUCAGAAACUUUAUUAUGUUCUUCUUUUUUCUCCGUUGCAAAAUGAUGUGAUGAAAGAAGCUCGUAUUUCGGUCUCCAUGGCGGAGCCAAUUAGCCCUUCCUCUUUGCAGCCAUUAAUCCGAGUGCAAACUCUCUCAAUUAAGUGUUGGAAGCAGUCGCUCCUAUCCACUCCUACCAGGGAGGGGAGCCCCAAGUAUUUGUCAGUGAGCGAUUCGGUGACAAUAUUCAGCAGGUUGCAUACCUCUUGUCUGUCCCCCCUAUCUGUCUAAGGGUCCUUGGUAAAACUCUCUUCAUUGAAGGCAGUACGUGGGUAUCCAUCUUAUCUACGGUCUGCGGGUCAUCCACAUGACCAAAACAAAGGGUACGAAAGCAGUGAAACCGAUAUAUCUGUUGAAGGCGAUCCCACCGGUCCUAUUUAUUAAGUUGCAAUGGCGAGUAUCUUUGGACCCCAAAGAGUUGUAUAAGUUGGAAAAUGGAGAUUUGCCUGUGGCAUUGGCCGUUGGGCAGCUAGCUAUUGCAUUUGAAGGCUCCACAGAAAGAACCCGCAGGUACUAUUACGACAGGUGGCUUCGAAUCCAGUUUGUUAGUCGUUUGCAUCUCGGUUAACAAAAAUAAGCUUGAAUCCCUCCAUUCGUAGAUCAAUCAGCUAAAGUUGUUAAAACAAUGCCCCGGUAAAAAGGUAGCAGAAGGUCGUUCUUUCUUACUCGAAGUUGCACUCAGGUGCUGCCGUUUUAGAGCUAGGCGAUAUUCUCUGUGUAAACCAGUAUCGUAUCUGUUCGAUAUGGACCAUUCUAUAAGUAUAGUCAUUUCAGUCUUCCUCAAAGGAUCUCCGAUCUAUUGUGCAACCUUCCCUUCGAAACCCACCCCACACGAAUACUUCUACCCCUUAUCACAGCUCCAAUGCCCACAGGCAUCUGUCUCUAGCACAAAUCUUUUACUGAAAUCAGGGAGAACCAACACAGGGGCCUCAAUUAAAGCUUGCUUGAGAACAUCAAAGGAUUGCUUUGGCUUGUCCACACAAAUGGUACUCCUUUCUUUAACAAGUUCGUGAGAGGUCUCCUAAUUAUGUAUAUACAGGAUGAGUCACAUCUUGACCGGAGCCAUGCGGAGCACAAAAAGUGAAGAGAAAGGAUUUGUUCACCACUUUAAGCCAAAAGAUAGAAAUGAAAGCUGUUCCCAUAGAAUGAGAUUAGAUCCCGCAAGUGAGCUAUUUAUACCGAAGCUUACAAGAAGCAAAGUUGAAACGGGAGCUUUCCCACCACGGCAUCCAACUCUUCUCUUCCGUAAGCAAAGGGGCUUUCAACGAGAUAGGGAGCUGUACAAUUUCACCCGUGGGUGGGGCUGGCUCACAAUACAACAAUUAUCGCUACUGAUUCCAGAUAGAAUGUUGAUACCGGUGGAAAAGCACUUCUUUCUAUGUAUAGGGCAGUGAACUAAAAAAAAAGUGUCCUUUCUCGAUACAUAACAUUGUAUAAGUCAACCCAAGUCGCUUCUUCAUCUCCGGGAAUCCGGUAAGGUACUUUUGGAACACCAAUGGGCAUAUUAGAUUAAUAUUAUUAUAUUAUAGUAAGAAAACUACACUUUAAUAUAUAAACAUAAGAAUGGAAGAGAAAGAAAGAACCUGAGAAGAGCUUAGUUGGAACUCUUUACCGGGAUCAUAGGGGCUAUGCUCCCCUCUCUCUGUCUCAGUCCCAGCCAACGGCAUAGCAACACCUACUCUUCCUUCUGAUGCAGCCUUCCUGGAUCCAUAAUUUGGCUUCCUCGUUUAUUGAUUGCUUGCAAUCGCCACAACACCAUUGAGUGAGCGUCAUAGAAUCCUCAAGGCGUGAAGUAGAAGUUCUUCGAACCUUGAUUGUGUGUGUUCGUGCCCACUCCAAUAGAGCAUUUGGCCCUGUGAGCUUUGACUACGAAAGCUACCUAUGUCAAUCAGUAUAGCCACUAGAGGGAUUGGAACAGGUAUAUUCCUUCUCAGACAGUACUUUAAGACAAACACGGUUCACAAGGUGGAUUUUCUAUCUAUUAGUUGACUACGGAGCUUCCUCAUCCCGACCUAUCUAUAUGUGAAAAGCUCUCCGCCAGAAUCUUCGUAGUAGUAAGUCGUGGGUUACAAGCUGUCCCUUCCUCAAACCACCCCGCAAUAGAUAUAGGGUUUACCAACCUCAGGCAUGGACAUAGACACCAGAUCAUUUUGAUAGAAAUGAGGUAGACUGGAAGCUGAAGCCAAUAGACCAAUGGAACUAAUCAAUCACUUGCUUUCCCGAACUGGACAGCAGGAUUUUAUCAGCACUGGACUUGAAUCGCGUCGAUGACUCUAAUCUUUAGAGACAGAAGCAGAUGGGAGAAGGUUGGAUAUGGAUCAUGAUCAAGUCUACCUCGUAAGCCACUUAAAGAUCUUUGAGCAGCUCGAGAGAGAAAUCCGUCUUCAUUGGUACAAAAUAACCUUCGCCCCCCUUUUUUGUUAUGGGAUGGUGGUUCCUGUCUAUCAACUAAGGUUAUAAAUUGAUUCUAUAAGAAUCUAGUAGAUCACGCACCUAUUGUAUUUAGUGUGAUCUUGUGGGAGAGUAAGGAAUCGCACCCUUAGCGUGAGGGGAAUAGCCGGUUUCCUUUCCUUAACUAGACUACCUUACGGUAGCUCGACUGGGCACGUCAACGUAUGUAUUCUGUCUUCCCAAUCAAACAUUAGUCAUUGCAGCUAUUUCAUCUGGUCUACUAGAGUAGAGAGAUCUCUCACUUCACUGCACAUCGCACUAACUAAUAGCUAGCCGCCUCACGGAUCACCUUAUUAUGUGCAGCUAAAGCGGGGUGUGUGCAUUGUUCAACUAGAGCCGAGGAGGACAAAAGAAUAAGGAACAAUAGGUUCGCUACCCGAUUUCAAUAGUUUCCUUGAUUUGAAAUCAAUCCAAUAUCCUUUCGAGAAUCUAGAGUGAUAUCAACAACCUCCUAGUUGAAGUACAGACGAGGAAGCAGCCUAUUAGUUUCAGUCCAGUCCAGGAAAGGAAGGCAAUCGAUUCAAUUCAUUCCCCAAUUUCAGGCUUGGUGCUGCGCAUUAUUAAGAAUAUCAUAUAGGAAGAUGGACUAGCUCGAGACCUUGGCUUCAACCAAUCAAUUGAAUCUUGGACACAUUGAAUUCUUAGAUAUUGCUUAAGGGAUCACCACAUAUAUUUCUCAGAUUAUCAUGUCUGUCUCGUCUUGCUAUUUCCAUCGACCAACCAUGAGAGUGUUAAUCAACUCCACCUGGAGGAAGUGUCAAAGGCGUCUGUCUAUCAGUUAUCGAUAGAUCGAACAAACCUAAAGGAUCUGGUGGUUGUGUAAUUGUAAGAUUACUGAUCAUGGGAUACGGAUCUAGUUCCUGGCUCUGCCUACGCAGAGCUGAGUCGGAUAGUCUUGAAGAGAUGUCUUGGAAUGUUUGAUGGCCGUGAAAGUAAGAAUUAUUUGAUUUAGCCAUAAUUCGCCUACUUUACUUUAGAGGACUAGCUCUUCCUAUUGGACUCGUGGGAUUGGAGACAGCACAACCUCAGGUUCACUAUCUUCUUUAGAGUGGGACAGAUAGACUAGAAUGGGCUGGUUUUUCAAAAGACUUGAACACCCAUCCGAUAUAGACUCAUCGAAGGCAAUGCGAUAGGUCGUAGCCUGGGAGAUAGGGGUUGAGCAACCAAGCGAACAAGGGCUCGUACUGUCGGAGGGUCCACAGGUUCCAUUCUUGAUCUGAUUUCUCGCUAUCUUAUUCGGUGGUACAAAACGAAAUACGACUCCUAUUCUUGCCCGAUGUAGGUAGCCACGCCCACUCUAAUUCCAUCCAAUGUAUACCACACUUUGGUAGAAGUUAAGCGCUUAAGCAGCUCCAGAAGCUGCAGAGAGGUGAAAGCUGGAAAGCCAAUAGCCAGAAUUCUUUUGGCAAUAGUGGAAUAGCCAGCUAAUACUGGUGCAAGCUCGGGUAUCGAGCAACACUACCUAGUAACCAUACCAUACCAUACAUCUACUAAACAGAGGAUGACAUAGCCAAUAAAGGAUUGGUAAUUCCUGUCAGAAGAAGAAUCAGAGGAAUCGAAGCAAUCAUAAAAGCAGGAAAUUGCAAUGCCUUCUCCACCCCGUGUUGAUAAAACAAUUGUAUUUAGCGCGCCUCAAGCCUCCUUCCUCGGGGUAGGUCCCGCGUAUGACCCAACCCAUCUCCCCGAAGGCAGGCAGGUUCGGAAAUAGCUUGCGCAGAAGCGAGAACCCCAGGUCCAUAUCUAAAAAAAAAUAUGUAGUUUUUGUAAGCGAGCUGAGGAAUAAAAGUAAGAAAGAUCCGCAAGAGAAGAAAGGACCUGGGACAGAAGAAAGAACCGAACCCUAUAGUUGUACAGAAUUCCGUUUGUCCGCUUUCCAUUUCGACCACUCGCUCCUAUGUAUGAAGAAUGGCUCUUCCUUGUCUUCAUCUUUUCCAAUCGACUGCCUUCGGGCGGAUCCACACACGGAUAUCGAGUCAGUCUAGUGGCUCAUGCUGCUUAAUAGUGGAGGCGGGUAACAACUGCUCUUUCUUCUCGAUCGAGUAGCCACCGCAUAAAUUGGUAAGCUUCCCACGCCAAAGCUAGUCUUCCUUGCUUUCCCAACAAACAAUAAGACCCAUAGCAUGUGCACCAGGAUGGUCUUUCUAUCCCUAUCUAUUCUCACCGAACUAGACCUCUCAUACCCGGCUACAGGAGAGGUAACUACCUCUGAUUGAUUUUAUUCGUCAUAAAUGAUUUCCGCUGACUCAAGCAUAGCCAAGCCAUUAAGCUAAUAUCUCCCUUGCCAUUAAUUCAACAAGGCUUCCGAGAAAGGCAUGUUACGAACCUAAGAACACCUACCCACCUAUUAACUUUUGGAAUUCUUAGCUUUGGACGUUAAGGAAUGAGUGGAAUGAAUAGACGACGUACUCUCUCUAAUCGGUGCAGCCUGCUGAGCCCCCUUUCUCCUCGGUCCACAGAGAAAAAAAUGUAGGACUGGUGCCGACAGUUCAUCACGGAAGAAAGAACUCACAGAGCCGGGAUCGGUAACUAAUAGUACUACUAACUAAUACUAAUAUAUAGAAAUAGAUAUCUAGAAAUAGAAAUGAACUAAUAUAUAGAUAAUCGAAAUUGAAAAGAACUGUCUUUUCUGUAUACUUUCCCCGUUCUAUUGCUACCGCGGGUCUUAUGCAAUCGAUCGGAUCAUAUAGAUAUCCCUUCAACACAACAUAGGUCAUCGAAAAGAUCUCGGACGACUCACCAAAGCACGAAAGCCAGUUAGAAAAUGGAUUCCUAUUUGAAGAGUGCCUAACCGCAUGGAUAAGCUCACAUUAACCCGUCAAUUUUGGAUCCAAUUCGGGAUUUUUCUUGGGAAGUUUCGGGAAGAAAUUGGAAUGGAAUAAUAUAGAUUCAUACAGAGGAAAAGGUUCUCUAUUGAUGCAAACGCUGUACCUAGAGGAUAGGGAUAGAGGAAGAGGGAAAAAUCGAAAUGAAAUAAAUAAAGAAUAAAGCCAAAAAAAUAAGUCGAAGAUAGAAGAGCCCAGAUUCCAAAUGAAGAAAUGGAAACUCGAAAAG